rnacentral:rRNA from 1 species
UACGUAGGGGGCAAGCGUUGUCCGGAUUUAUUGGGCGUAAAGAGCGUGUAGGCGGCCAGGGAGGUCCGUUGUGAAAACUCGAGGCUCAACCUCGAGACGCCGAUGGAAACCCCCUGGCUAGAGUCCGGAAGAGGAGAAUGGAAUUCCUGGUGUAGCGGUGAAAUGCGCAGAUAUCAGGAGGAACACCGGUGGCGAAGGCGGUUCUCUGGGCCUGUACUGACGCUGAGGAACGAAAGCGUGGGGAGCGAACAGG